GACGAACGCUGGCGGCGUGCCUAAUACAUGCAAGUCGAGCGGACAGACGGGAGCUUGCUCCCUGAUGUUAGCGGCGGACGGGUGAGUAACACGUGGGUAACCUGCCUGUAAGGCUGGGAUAACUCCGGGAAACCGGGGCUAAUACCGGAUGGUUGUCUGAACCGCAUGGUUCAGACAUCAAAGGUGGCUUCGGCUACCACUUACAGAGGGACCCGCGGCGCAUUAGCUAGUUGGUGAGGUAACGGCUCACCAAGGCAACGAUGCGUAGCCGACCUGAGAGGGUGAUCGGCCACCCUGGGACUGAGACACGGCCCAGACUCCUACGGGAGGCAGCAGUAGGGAAUCUUCCGCAAUGGACGAAAGUCUGACGGAGCAACGCCGCGUGAGUGAUGAAGGUUUUCGGAUCGUAAAGCUCUGUUGUUAGGGAAGAACAAGUGCCGUUCAAAUAGGGCGGCACCUUGACGGUACCUAACCAGAAAGCCACGGCUAACUACGUG
rnacentral:rRNA from 1 species